rnacentral:misc_RNA from 1 species
GUGAUUAUGAACUAGUAAAAGAAGUUAUAUUUGAUGAUUACCUUUGGAACCGUAUAAAAAAGUCAGAAGAUGAGUUGCUCGCGGAGAAAAGAUGUGUUGCCCAUCUUACAGGAGAGGGUAUCGCGGUCUGUGAUCUCCCCGGAGAUACGAUGCUUCCCGGAGAGAUGUGAAACCAGCAAACCAUAUUGUUACAAAUUAUGUUUUAAGAACUUGCAUAGAAUGCAAGUGUUUGUUUGUAAUUUGUGUAUCAUUGAUAAAUCAGUCUCAACAAGGGAGAUAAUAAAUGAGACACAGUAUCAACAUUAUUCUAAUCGAGUCGAUUCCAUGAUUAU